GAUGAACGCUAGCGCUAGGCUUAACACAUGCAAGUCGAGGGGCAGCAUGGUCUUAGCUUGCUAAGACUGAUGGCGACCGGCGCACGGGUGCGUAACGCGUAUGCAACUUGCCUCACAGAGGGGGAUAACCCGUCGAAAGACGGACUAAUACCGCGUACACUCCAUCUUGGGCAUCCAAGGUGGAGGAAAUGAAAUUCGCUGUGAGAUAGGCAUGCGUCCCAUUAGCUAGUUGGUGAGGUAACGGCUCACCAAGGCGACGAUGGGUAGGGGAACUGAGAGGUUGAACCCCCACACUGGUACUGAGACACGGACCAGACUCCUACGGGAGGCAGCAGUGAGGAAUAUUGGUCAAUGGGCGAGAGCCUGAACCAGCCAAGUCGCGUGAAGGAUGACUGUCUUAUGGAUUGUAAACUUCUUUUAUACGGGAAUAACAAGAGUCACGUGUGACUCCCUGCAUGUACCGUAUGAAUAAGCAUCGGCUAACUCCGUG
rnacentral:rRNA from 1 species